rnacentral:rRNA from 1 species
UACGUAGGGCGCAAGCGUUGUCCGGAAUUAUUGGGCGUAAAGAGCUCGUAGGCGGCCUGUUACGUCUGCUGUGAAAUCCCGGGGCUUAACCCCGGGCGUGCAGUGGAUACGGGCAGGCUGGAGGCAGGUAGGGGAGAACGGAAUUCCCGGUGUAGCGGUGAAAUGCGCAGAUAUCGGGAGGAACACCCGUAGCGAAGGCGGCACUCUGGGCCGGAACUGACGCUGAGGAGCGAAAGCGUGGGGAGCAAACAGG